rnacentral:rRNA from 1 species
AACGAACGCUGGCGGCAUGCCUAACACAUGCAAGUCGAACGAGACCUUCGAGUCUAGUGGCGCACGGGUGCGUAACGCGUGGGAACCUGCCCUUAGGUUCGGAAUAACUCCCCGAAAGGGGUGCUAAUACCGGAUAAUGUCUUCGGACCAAAGAUUUAUCGCCUUUGGAUGGGCCCGCGUUGGAUUAGCUAGUUGGUAGGGUAAAAGCCCACCAAGGCGACGAUCCAUAGCUGGUCUGAGAGGAUGAUCAGCCACACUGGGACUGAGACACGGCCCAGACUCCUACGGGAGGCAGCAGUGGGGAAUAUUGGACAAUGGGCGAAAGCCUGAUCCAGCAAUGCCGCGUGAGUGAUGAAGGCCUUAGGGUUGUAAAGCUCUUUUACCCGGGAUGAUAAUGACAGUACCGGGAGAAUAAGCUCCGGCUAACUCCGU